AGAGGGAUAGUUGGGUCAAAUGGUAGUUCCAUUCCCAGAUUUCCAAGGAAUCUCCAUACUGCUUUCCAUAUUGGCUGUACCAAUUUGCAGUCCCACCAGCAGU
rnacentral:pre_miRNA from 1 species